CCCUCGAUAGCUCAAUUGGGAGAGCGCAAGACUGUAAUUGGAAAUCAUCUUGAGGUCGCUAGUUCGAUCCUGGCUCGAGGGA
rfam:Stereum hirsutum FP-91666 SS1 unplaced genomic scaffold STEHIscaffold_20, whole genome shotgun sequence.